rnacentral:rRNA from 1 species
AUGAACGCUGGCGGCGUGCCUAAUACCUGCCAGUCGAGCGAACAGACGAGGAGCUUGCUCCUCUGACGUUAGCGGCGGACGGGUGAGUAACACGUGGAUAACCUACCUAUAAGACUGGGAUAACUUCGGGAAACCGGAGCUAAUACCGGAUAAUAUAUUGAACCGCAUGGUUCAAUAGUGAAAGACGGUUUUGCUGUCACUUAUAGAUGGAUCCGCGCCGCAUUAGCUAGUUGGUAAGGUAACGGCUUACCAAGGCGACGAUGCGUAGCCGACCUGAGAGGGUGAUCGGCCACACUGGAACUGAGACACGGUCCAGACUCCUACGGGAGGCAGCAGUAGGGAAUCCUCCGCAAUGGGCGAAAGCCUGACGGAGCAACGCCGCGUGAGUGAUGAAGGUCUUCGGAUCGUAAAACUCUGUUAUUAGGGAAGAACAAAUGUGUAAGUAACUAUGCACGUCUUGACGGUACCUAAUCAGAAAGCCACGGCUAACUACGUG